rnacentral:rRNA from 1 species
UACGAAGGGGGCUAGCGUUGCUCGGAAUCAUUGGGCGUAAAGGGUGCGUAGGCGGCGGGGCAAGUCGGAUGUGAAAUCUCAGGGCUCAACCCUGAAACUGCAUUCGAUACUGCCUUGCUCGAGGACUGGAGAGGAGAUUGGAAUUCACGGUGUAGCGGUGAAAUGCGUAGAUAUCGUAAGGAAGACCAGUGGCGAAGGCGGGUCUCUGGACAGUUCCUGACGCUGAGGCACGAAGGUCAGGGGAGCAAACGGG